UGGCAGGUAGUUCAGCGGCCUAGAACACCUAAAACAUCCUUUUUCAUACCUUGCCUGAAAAGGCCGACGAAUGAGGGUUAUCGCCUUCCACGCGGGAGAUCGCAGGUAUGCCUCCGGCACGCUACGCGAACAAAUCCUGCCCUGCCAC
rnacentral:tRNA from 1 species